rnacentral:rRNA from 1 species
UACGUAGGGGGCAAGCGUUGUCCGGAGUUACUGGGCGUAAAGCGCACGCAGGCGGUCUCUUAAGUUUGGAGUGACAGUUGGUGGCUUAACUGCCAAAGUGCUUCGAAAACUGAGAGACUUGAGGGCUUCAGAGGGACACGGAAUUCCGGGUGGAGUGGUGAAAUGCGUAGAGAUCCGGAGGAACACCAAAGGCGAAGGCAGUGUCCUGGGGAGUACCUGACGCCCAGGUGGCGAAAGCCAGGGGAGCGAACGGG